CAGCCCCAUAAGCUUUGCUGGCGGAGGCGGGAUUUAUGACCUAUACUGCAGCCCAUCACCAGAGGGUGCUGUUCUCAGAGUGGCUUAACCCAGCAGACGGCGUCGAUUCUAUAUACAGUCUAUGGUUGGUAGCUACCCAUAUUUUUAUUUUGAUGCUAAUACUUUCGUGUUUUUACUUGUUUUGGAUGCAGCACUUUUACUCGUUCCAUGCUAAUCAUACAAGUAACAGGUUGUUAAAUUGAAACCAAAGGUGCAGUACAUAGAAAUGGAAAGAGUUUAUAGUAUCUAGAGGUCAAGUUCUAUAUUGGACUGCUCCCUUGCUCACCCCUGUCAGUAAAGCAAUAGUGUUUUGAGGUUAUGGAUGUUUCUGUUUUGAUUUUUUUAAACCAGAAGUGACUAAAUUUGUAGGGAUAGGUGGGAACAAGUAGCUGCAUUUCUACCCUGGUUGGCGACUUGUCAAUCACAGGUAGCCCCACCCCCAAAAUCCUGCCUACCUUUCUAGCCAGUUUGACUCUAAAUGAGAUUUAGAUCAUAAACUCAUUUGGGAAACAUUUACUGAGGGAAUCUAUCAACUGACAGCUCUGACUUCUAUAUGAUCAGACAAGUAGUGUCGCCCCCUACUGGAAAUAAUAGGUUUUGUUAAUCCUUCAGCAUACUCUUGCAGCAUACUCAUACCCUCCUCAUCUCUCUGUCUUUCUCUCUCUUUCUCUCUUCAGGUUGAGAGAUGCUCGCUCGCCCCGGUGGCCUCCUGACUCGAUCCAGAUUUGUGUUUUAUUUCAGCUGGUUGUUCUCCGACCGUUACACGCUGCCGGAGAUAAUCCUCUUAACUCUCGCUCUCAGUCAGAGACGGACAUCCUCUGAUGCUCUGGACAAAAAUAAUAUCACAGUUCGUUUCAGAUACAGUGUCCAUGUCCUGCUUACCUAAACCCAACAGGUAAUCCUGCACAGCUGCAUCACUACGAACUAUCAUAACUAUAUUUUACUGUGG
rnacentral:lncRNA from 1 species